UACGUAGGAAGCGAGCGUUGUCCGGAAUCACUGGGCGUAAAGCGCGUGUAGGCGGUACGGCAAGUCUGCUGUGAAAGCGCCCGGCUUAACCGGGCGAGGUCGGCGGAAACUGCUGAACUGGAGGACGGUAGAGGGGGGUGGAAUUCCCGGUGUAGCGGUGAAAUGCGCAGAUAUCGGGAGGAACACCUAUGGCGAAGGCAGCUCGCUGGGACGUUACUGACGCUGAGACGCGAAAGCGUGGGGAGCAAACAGG
rnacentral:rRNA from 1 species